CCUACGGGCGGCAGCAGUGAGGAAUAUUGGUCAAUGGACGAAAGUCUGAACCAGCCAAGCCGCGUGCAGGAAGACGGCCCUAUGAGUUGUAAACUUCUUUUGUCGGAGAGCAAAAUCAGGGACGUGUCCCUGUCUGAAUGUAUCGUACGAAUAAGGAUCGGCUAACUCCGUGCCAGCCGCCGCGGUAAUACGGAGGAUACGAGCGUUAUCCGGAUUUAUUUGGUUUAAAGGGUGCGUAGGCGGUCUGAUAAGUUAGCGGUGAAAUCCCGGGGCUCAACCCCGGAAUUGCCUUUGAUACUGGUAGACUAGAGUGGGCGAGAGGUACGCGGAAUGCGAGGUGUAGCGGUGAAAUGCAUAGAUAUCACGCAGAACUCCGAUUGCGAAGGCAGCAUACCGGCGCCCGACUGACGCUGAGGCACGAAAGCGUGGGUAUCGAACAGGAUUAGAUACCCUAGUAGUC
rnacentral:rRNA from 1 species